UACAGAGGGUGCAAGCGUUAAUCGGAAUUACUGGGCGUAAAGCGUGCGCAGUCGGUUAUUUAAGUCGGGCGUGAAAGCCCCGGGCUCAACCUGGGAAUUGCGUUCGAUACUGGAUAGCUAGAGUUCGGCAGAGGGAAGCGGAAUUUCGGGUGUAGCGGUGAAAUGCGUAGAUAUCCGAAGGAACAUCAGUGGCGAAAGCGGCUUCCUGGACCAGAACUGACGAUCAGGCACGAAAGCGUGGGGAG
rnacentral:rRNA from 1 species